rnacentral:rRNA from 1 species
UACGUAGGGUGCGAGCGUUGUCCGGAAUUAUUGGGCGUAAAGGGCUCGUAGGCGGUUUGUCGCGUCGGGAGUGAAAACCUUGGGCUUAACUCAGGGCUUGCUUUCGAUACGGGCAGACUAGAGGUAUGCAGGGGAGAACGGAAUUCCUGGUGUAGCGGUGAAAUGCGCAGAUAUCAGGAGGAACACCGGUGGCGAAAGCGGCUACCUGGCCCAUUCUUGACGCUGAGGCGCGAAAGCUAGGGGAGCAAACGGG